GAACGCUGGCUGUGUGCCUAAUACAUGCAUGUCGAACGAAGCACUUGUGCUUAGUGGCAAAUGGGUGAGUAACACGUACUUAAUCUACCCCCAAGUUUGGGAUAACAGUUGGAAACAAUUGCUAAUACCAAAUACGUAUAAGUUUUGCAUAAUUCUUAUAUAAAAGGAGCGUUUGUUUCGCUAGGGGAUGAGAGUGCGCUACAUUAGUUAGUUGGUAGGGUAAGAGCCUACCAAGACUAUGAUGUAUAGCGGGGCUGAGAAGCUGAACCGCCACACUGGGACUGAGAUACGGCCCAGACUCCUACGGGAGGCAGCAGUAGGGAAUAUUCCACAAUGAGCGAAAGCUUGAUGGAGCAACACAGCGUGCAGGAAGACGACCUUAGGGUUGUAAACUGCUGUUAUGAGGGAAGAAAAAUAAAAUUAGGAAAUGAAUUUUACAUGACGGUACCUCAUCAGAAAGCACCGGCAAACUAUGUGCCAGCAGCCGCGGUAAUACAUAGGGUGCAAGCGUUAUCCGGAAUUAUUGGGCGUAAAGUGUCUGUAGGUGGUAUGUUAAGUCUAGUGUUAAAGACUAGGGCCCAACCCUAGCACGCUCUAGAUACUGACAUGCUAGAGUCAUAGAGAGGUUAGCGGAACUCCUAGUGAAGCGGUGAAAUGUGUAGAUAUUAGGAAGAACACCAAUAGCGAAGGCAGCUAACUGGAUAUGUACUGACACUCAGAGACGAAAGCGUGGGUAGCAAACAGGAUUAGAUACCCUGGUAGUCCACGCCGUAAACGAUGAUCAUUAGCCGGUGGGUUUUAUCACUGGCGUAGCUAACGCAUUAAAUGAUCCGCCUGAGUAGUAUGCUCGCAAGAGUGAAACUUAAAGGAAUUGACGGGGACCCGCACAAGCAGUGGAGCAUGUGGUUUAAUUUGAAGAUACGCAAAGAACCUUACCCACUUUUGACAUCUUUUGCAAAGCUAUAGAGAUAUAGUAGAGGUUAACAAAAUGACAGAUGGUGCAUGGUUGUCGUCAGCUCGUGUCGUGAGAUGUUAGGUUAAGUCCUGCAACGAGCGCAACCCCUAUUUUUAGUUGCUAACAUUUAGUUGAGGACUCUAGAAAGACUGCCUGGGUAACCAGGAGGAAGGUGGGGAUGACGUCAAAUCAUCAUGCCUCUUACAAGUGGGGCUACACACGUGCUACAAUGGCUAAUACAAAAAGAUGCAACCUCGUGAGAGCAAGCAAAUCUUAUAAAAUUAGUCUCAGUUCGGAUUGAAGUCUGCAACUCGACUUCAUGAAGUCGGAAUUGCUAGUAAUCGUAGGUCAGCAAUACUACGGUGAAUACGUUCUCGGGUCUUGUACACACCGCCCGUCACACCAUGGGAGCUGGUAAUGCCCGAAGCCGGAUAAAAAACUUCGGAUUUUAC
rnacentral:rRNA from 1 species